rnacentral:rRNA from 1 species
GUCUAUGGCCAUACCACCCUGAACACGCCCGAUCUUGUCUGAUCUCGGAAGCUUAAGCAGGGUCGGGCCUGGUUAGUACUUGGAUGGGAGAAAUGAAUAAUGUAUUAUUGUCA